rnacentral:misc_RNA from 1 species
AGGCAAAAGUUGGUCCUGAAAUUAAAAGAAAUUGCCUCCUUGUCUCAAAUAGUUAUUACCUGUUAUUAUAAAAUGGAAAUAUAUCUGCCUUUGGAAAACAUGUUUUAAGUAUGUUUAUAUGAAUAACAAUUUGACUCAAUUUUAAUAGGUUAGAAAAGUUUAUAAUUUUUAAACUGCUAAACAAACAAUGAGUAGCUAAUAAUACUUCACAAUUUUAUUUUCUGCUGUUAGUGUGGAAAGUAAGACAAUUUGACCUUUAAAAUGUUUUAAUGUUUGAAACUUUCAUUGUUGUAUAAACUUGAAUUGUAUAUAUGUAUAUUUCUCAAGUUAAAUCAAUUUCAACUGCACUAACACUUAUCAGCUUAUAUAAAAAAAAAAACUCUGUACUUUAUUACGAAAGAAUAUGCUUAUCUUUUAUUGUCCAUGUUUUGUAUUUAGAUAAUGCUAAAUAUCUAAUUAUAUCCUCCAGUGAACGAUUAAUAAAAUGAUCAUAAUGCCAAA